UCAAACUUGGUCAUUUAGAGGAAGUAAAAGUCGUAACAAGGUCUCCGUUGGUGAACCAGCGGAGGGAUCAUUACAAAACGAGUAGAGAUACUCUGUAAACCACUGUGAACUUACCUGUUUUUUUGUUGCUUUGGCAGGCGGCUCCAGGGCGGAGCCUGUAUCGCCUCACCGCGGUGCCCGCCGGAGGAUACGAACCCAAACUAUGUUAUCUGUGUAACUCUGAGUAAAAUUUAGAAAAUAAGUCAAAACUUUCAACAACGGAUCUCUUGGUUCUGGCAUCGAUGAAGAACGCAGC
rnacentral:misc_RNA from 1 species